UCUCUCUCUCUCUCUCUCUCUCUCAUUCCUGAGGCAAGACCGGGAAGACCAAGGACCAGAGCUUAAUUUGGUGCAACCGAAGUACUGAAGAAUCUCCAUUUAAUUAUUCCGUAUUAAUCCCUGCUUUUCAUUUUGCAAGCUAUAGUCUAGUAAGAGAAGAUUUUGCACAUUAUAUUCUCUCUCUCCUGGCUGAAGUAGCUACCGAGUGGAAAGCUCACUGGCACUGAGAAAGUCGAAUUAGUUUAUAGAAGGCUGAUACACGCAGGUACGAUGGAUCUUGUGGUGUUGGUGGCGCUCAGCACCUGGCUGGCUCCUGCACUCGGAUCAGCAUUUGGCAGGGAGUUGGUAGCCUCAGUGGCAGAUGAAGAGGACAAAGACUAUGACAGUGCUUUUCAUUACGAUUAUGAAUCACUGAGAAUUGGUGGCCUGGUAUUCGCUGUGGUGCUGUUCUUCAUGGGCAUCGCUCUCAUUGUCACCCGAAAAUGUACCUGUUCUAAGAGUGACAAGUAAAAGGUCCAGUGGUCCUGAUCUGGAGUCGGUUUCCAGGGGUAAAUGUUUUUCUGUCUUCUAUAAUAAAGAGGGAAGGUUAAAUGCCUAUCAAGUAAAUGUAUUGUCAUUUUCCGUUUUACAUCUCCAACUCUUUCCUCAACUUGGUAGAUGCAGACGCAAAGAGCAAUGGAGAUCUGUGCUACUGACUUACCAUGUGGUGGCAGCAAAUACCAUUAUCACAGCUGGGGACAAUCUUUCCACAAACACCUAAAGCUUCAUUCAAUUUCAUAAUGUUACUGUGCUCCUUCUUUUUCUUUUCUUUUUCUUUUUAAAUUGUUUUUAUCAUUAAUUACCAUUACUAGAUAAUGUGCCAACUUGAUAUGGCAAUUGUAGUGUGAUUCUCAUUUGUAUUUUUAUGACUUUCAGAUUGAUGCAAAAUAAAGAAAACGUUUGAAAAAGUU